rnacentral:rRNA from 1 species
GUUGCUCGGAAUUACUGGGCGUAAAGGGCGCGUAGGCGGACACUUAAGUCAGGGGUGAAAUCCCGGGGCUCAACCCCGGAAUUGCCUUUGAUACUGGGGGGCUGGAGACAGGCAGAGGCCAGCGGAAUUCCGGGUGUAGCGGUGGAAUGCGUAGAGAUCCGGAAGAACACCGGAGGCGAAGGCGGCUGGCUGGGCCUGAUCUGACGCUGAGGUGCGAAAGCGUGGGGAGCGAACAGG